UCUCUUUCCCCUCUUUCCCACUUCAGCAAAGAACCUUUUCUUGACAACAAUGGCAGGUUUUGUUACCCCCCACUUCGUGCAAUACUUCCUCUCUUCACGCCUCAAUCCUGUCGUCUUCUUCAUCUCUAUCCCUUCCCCAUUUCCUUUUUCAGGAGCGGGCCAAAUCUUGAGUCGAAAAGGAAGCUUUUGUUGUUCCAUUUUUUCGAAUAAUUUCAGGCGCGCCUCUGGUCCCCUCUUUCCCCUCCAUUUUCAGAAAAGCUCAGUCUCCCUUUCACCCUCACAGAUUUGUUUACCCCCAUUUCGUGCAAGCCUUUUGUAUUCUUAUGUGACCAUCUGCUCAAAAAACAUUUCAACGUUCAGAUUUGAACGGUCCAUUUGACUCAACUUUGAAUCAAUGUCAUUAUCCCGCCCAAAUCGAAACCCUAGGUUUGAUUGGCACCUAUAAAUAUUGUUUGAGUUCUCAGCCGAAGAAAAGGGACGAAUCCCUACUCUUUGUUUUUUUAAGUAUCCAGUUCAAUUCAUCAAAAACAGAGAUUAGAAUACCCGAGUAUUUUUUGGUUACAAAGUCUUUCCUUUUUAAUCUGGUCGAGGACCCUUUCUUUUGGUUUUACUGAGCGUUUUUCGGAGAUACCGAACUGUUUUCCAGAUUUGUUUCUUUUCCGGUGAACUUUAGCCGCGACAAAGAUUAUUCGUCUUACCCAACUCUAGUGUCGAAUUCGUUUCUGAGGAGAGGAUUUAGAUUCGUGACUCCCGCACCCCGUUCGCUGCGCUCGGACAAGGGGAUUCUUCAUCUCUCGCAUUCGGUGUUGGGCCAAAGCCCAACGAAAUUUCCUUCUCGAGUCGUCCUCAACCCGCAGCGUAUAAAGAAAGAUUCUUGGGCCAAACCCAUAUAGCAAAGAGCCUAUUGCAACAGCCCACUUCCUCUACUCUAUUCUUUUUGUGUGUUUGACUUGUAUGGAUUGUCUAACGUUUUGUCUUGUUAUUGUUUAUCUUAGCUUAGAUGAGUCCUAGUGUGGUUUGUAGGAAUUUUAGGAUUUUUUUGGAAGAUAAAGUAGGAUCGUUUAAAACUUAGAAUGAAUUCAAAUGUUAGUAUCUACAACAUUUUUGGGCUACAUGAAUUGAUUUCUCAAAAGACGCCAAGGGCUAAAUAAUAACUAUACCUUUCAAACAA